AGCAGAUCGACUACUGCCAAGACGACGAUGACGUCAUCAACUACCAUCACCCCCUAACACCCCAACCCUUGUUGGUGCACUUUAAAGGGAAUAGGUUGCCAUUAGUGACACAAACCUUGUCAUGCAUGUCAAUACCCUAUCUGAGAUUGGUAUAGAGGAGGUUCAAUGUAAUGUACUAGGUUAAUAUCCUAUCUGAGAUUGGUAUGGAUUAGGUUCAAUGUAAUGUACUAGGUUAAUAUCCUAUCUGAGAUUGGUAUGGAUUAGGUUCAGUGUAAUGUACUAGGUUUAGGAUAUACUAAUUGUUUAUUUUUCUAAAACUGUAAACAUAUUUGACAUGUAACCUAUUUAAUAUUUUAUAAAGCCUUUGAAGAUUUCAAACA